UCGGGCACCUUUUUUAUCUCUACCAAGUCCAGAUGCCUGACUGUCUAUCAACUUUCCGAGUCUUUUUACCUUUUCGCUCACCAAAACACUGGCACUUCAAGAUGGAUGCAGGCUCUUUCUCUGAGUGUACUGGCAUGAUUCUCAGCUAAGUCGGCUGCAUAAAUUCAGUGCCAAGAGGAAUUUUUUGAGGCAACAUUUACAGUGGCAGCUGAACAGCACAAACUCGGAAGCUGCAUGCAUUAAAGGAAACCCUGCUGAUGUACAGAAGCCCUGCCAGGAGGCAAAGGAAGGUAACAUCUCUUCAUCUAAGACGUGCAGAGAAGUGGGUGGUGAUCUACGGUGAUUGCUGUUUUCCUUAAAGCCUUCUGAACAAGUCGUACAAGAACUCACAGGAAAUGCUUGCGAAAAUAAUACAAGUGUCAUGCGAUUUUAAAAAAAAACUGCCAAAUGGCAAGGAUCUUUGUAUAUUUCUAAUCACAGUGCAACAAAGCCUCAUUAUAUUA